rnacentral:ncRNA from 2 species
CUCUUAUCCAGAGUGGUCGAGGGACUGGCCCGAUGACGCCCGGCAACCGGCUCGUUAGAGCAGUGGUGCUAAUUCCAGCAGAACAGCAGUGUUUUGGGAGAUGAGAG